rnacentral:rRNA from 1 species
UACGUAGGGUGCGAGCGUUAAUCGGAAUUACUGGGCGUAAAGCGUGCGCAGGCGGUCUGUUAAGACAGAUGUGAGAUCCCCGGGCUUAACCUGGGAACUGCAUUUGUGACUGGCAGGCUAGAGUAUGGCAGAGGGGGGUAGAAUUCCACGUGUAGCAGUGAAAUGCGUAGAGAUGUGGAGGAAUACCGAUGGCGAAGGCAGCCCCCUGGGCCAAUACUGACGCUCAUGCACGAAAGCGUGGGGAGCAAACAGG